UUUUGGUCAGUAGGAGCAUGCCU
rnacentral:miRNA from 1 species